CCUACGGGCGGCAGCAGUGGGGGAUCUUGCACAAUGGGGGAAACCCUGAUGCAGCGACGCCGCGUGUGGGAAGACGGUCCUCUGGAUUGUAAACCACUGUCCCCAGGGACGAAGAUGACGGUACCUGGGGAGGAAGCUCCGGCUAAAUACGUGCCAGCAGCCCCGGUAAUACGUAGGGAGCGAGCGUUGUCCGGAAUUACUGGGUGUAAAGGGAGCGUAGGCGGUAAUGCAAGUUGGGGGGCAAGUCUACCGGAUAAACCGGUAGCCGCAUUCAAAACUGCAGUGCUUGAGUGAAGUAGAGGCAGGCGGAAUUCCUAGUGUAGCGGUGAAAUGCGUAGAUAUUAGGAGGAACACCAGUGGCGAAGGCGGCCUUCUGGGCUUUUACUGACGCUGAGGCUCGAAAGUGUGGGGAGCAAACAGGAUUAGAUACCCGGGUAGUC
rnacentral:rRNA from 1 species